rnacentral:rRNA from 1 species
AACAUUCCGUGACUACCUUUAGUAGCGAUGCGGAGAAGAAGCAGUGACACUUCCGCGAGCCGACGGAAUGGCUCGUUGAAGAGUGUAGGCGUUGAUCACGGCAGGCAAAUCCGCCGUGAGAGCCGAACUUGAAAGUACAGGGUCCUCUUCGGAGGAACCUGAUAGCGAGGGUAAGCAUACUCCCGAGAAAAUCCGCUAAGCUUAACCCAUGCGGCACCCGUACCGCAAACGGACACACGUGGUCGGGUAGAACAUACUAAGGCGUUGAGAGAUUCAUGGUUAAGGAACUAGGCAAAUUCACCCUGUAACUUCGGGAGAAGGGG